GACGAACGCUGGCGGCGUGCCUAACACAUGCAAGUCGAACGGGAUCCAUGGAGUGCUUGCACUCCGGAAGAUCUAGUGGCGAACGGGUGAGUAACACGUGAGAAACCUGCCCCAGACUCUGGGAUAACCUCGGGAAACCGAAGCUAAUACCGGAUAUUCUCCUUUGGUCGCAUGGCCAGUUGAGGAAAGUCUUUCGGUCUGGGAGGGUCUCGCGGCCUAUCAGCUAGUUGGUGGGGUAACGGCCCACCAAGGCUACGACGGGUAGGCUGGUUUGAGAGAACGAUCAGCCACACUGGAACUGAGACACGGUCCAGACUCCUACGGGAGGCAGCAGUGGGGAAUCUUGCGCAAUGGGCGAAAGCCUGACGCAGCAACGCCGCGUGCGGGAUGAAGGCCUUCGGGUUGUAACCGCUUUCUAGCAGGGACGAAAAUGACGGUACCUGCAGAAGAAGCCCCUGCUAACUACGUGCCACGCAGCCGCGGUAAGAGUACUCUAU
rnacentral:rRNA from 1 species